rnacentral:lncRNA from 1 species
GUAGUGAUAGGAUAAUGUAUUAAUCAAAUUUUACUUUAUUCUUUCCCUGAAUUUAAGACUUUGGAAGAUGUCUGUGUUCUGCACUGUGAAAGCUGAGUCCAGACAGCUUUUAAAGGAAGAUUCUAGCAGACAACAAAUAAGAUACUGGAACCUGAAUGAAUACAUAGAAUUUUUGAAACAAGAAGUGUGAAACAAGUCCUUCUACUACUCAGGCCUCUGCCUGUGCGACAUGAUAUGUAAAACGCAUUAUGUCAAUACAACUGUAUUUGCAACUCUCAUCUGUUUCAAUAUUUCUAAGAAUUAACUCUGGGGUUUUAUUUGUGCAGGUGUCGCUCAGGAGUGAGGGUGAUAUGCACAGGCAAAAACAUACGUGCAGUAUGCCUGAUGUAAGUAUCAGACCUGGAUUAUUCUAAGAAGUGAAUUCAUUUCCCAGUUAGAUGGAUUAAAAGA